rnacentral:lncRNA from 10 species
ACUGUGUUUGGCAUCGCAGUUCCGACGGCAGCCGCCGUUUCGCGACCCACGGCGGACUUGCAUAAACACUUUCUAGUUGGAAUCUCACCCUGUGAGGUGGGCAAGGUAGUGAUAUUCCUGUUUGACGCCGACAGAAAUAAGAGAGAUUGACUCUCAGAACCAUGUGGCGGGAUUUUAAAGGAGGAUCUUAACAGUGGCUCGGACAGACCCGUGUUUUCUGCUCCUAGCAUUAACUACGUCGUUAAACCCUUCUGAAUUUAUUUCGUCUGUGAAAUGGGGAAAAGAUAGCCACCUUGCAUAACUGGUGAAGAAUUCGUAAACUGACAGCAGAAUCUAGUAAGAGGACUGGCCCGUGGUCGGCUCUUAAUGGUGUCACAGAAUAAAGAAAAAGACUGGGAGAGAGAUGGGAGCUGAUAGACCAGAGGAGACCAAAGACUGAAACUGAAGACUAAACCAUGGAAAUUGGGAACAAGCACUUACUCGCUUAGAGGGUGAAAAAAGUGAAUUUGCCUACAGGGCCAAUUUGGAAGCACCUCUCCCUGGAAGCCAGGAGUUUGUAUUUUAUUUUGCAGUCAAUGAAGAGCCAUUGGAGGAUUUUAAAUAAGGAACCGAAAAAUGGAGUCUGAAAAUAGAGGCGCAGAGACCGGUAAGUUGGUGGUUGCCAAUCAGUGGUCCAAGGAAAAGAUAAAUGAGCAGAGCCGUGAUCAGGACCAGAGAGGAGGCAACAGAAAAGAGAUGCUCAGGAUACAAUCGAUGCGCUUCGAGAGUGACUGGAGGUGGGGCACUGUAGAAUAAGUGACAUGGAGAGAUCUAGAUUGACCUCUGGGCCUACAGCUCAGGAAAAUGGGUGGGAGGUGGCAUUCAGAGAGACCAGGAGCACUCCUUAUCUUUCAGAGCCCAACACAUAAUCACCAACAGCUGACUUAUGAAUAAGAUCUUGGGGUCCUUGAAACACCGAAACACUGGAAUUUUUAGAAUUUUACAUUCUUACUGCCCAAGAAAACCCCUUGCAAAG